UUACAAAAAAACAUUAAAAAUGGGCUGAGUACAAGAAGCUUACAUGAGUCUUUGUAGAGGAAUUUUUACUGAGCCACUUCACUGAAUACUGCAGGGUGCAGUAAUAACAAAAAAAAAAAGCUUGGAAAGAGCAUGAGCUCUUGGCACCUAUUCUGCAGAACCAUUUUCACUGUCUAAUGGUGCUGCUGUACAUUUUGGAACCUAUGUAAAGAUUGGCCCUGACCAUGGAAUAUUUACUCACUUUGAAAUGCAGAUGUGACCUGCCUUCUCCUUCUGCAACUAACAGGGUGACCAGAGGCAGUGGAAUGUACACCAGGACUGGAAAGAACAGAACCAGAGGGAAAGCAAACUGUCAAGAGAACAGUGUACUGAAGAGGAAAAAUGUAAAACAUGACUUCUAUUUACCAUGAUUAAUAUGUAAAGUUAACAUGUUUGUCAUGGAAUAUAUUAAUAUGUAUGUUUUCCUAUUAUGCAGAUCUUUUCUUACAUUACUUUUUAGAAAGGGAUAUAAUCACAAUGAUGGGGCAAGAAUGCCACUUAAAAAUUAGGUGAUGCCCAGUCAACAUAACAUAACAUAACCACUGCAGUGUCAUUUCUGAUUUAGAUGUGGUGAUAUCAGUAUAAUUGCCUCUGGGAAGAAAUUAAAAUGGCUGUUAAUGAUAAAUAAAAUGACAAGAAGGAGGAUUUUCCUUCACAUAUAAUUCCAAGCAAAAUACAGCUGCUGAAUUCUUUGAGCACUUGGUGCCAUUCAUUGAUAAAGAGGAAACAAGUAGUUUUUGUGCAGCUGCAUGGCCAUAAAAGCUGCCCUUUUUCCAAGCCCAAAUGUAGACACCACAGGUCUAAAAAGAUUUCACCAUGCCAUUUCCACUCAGGGGAGAUGUAAUUGUGAAGCUCACAUGAAGUGAAUAUUAACACUAUUUUAGCAGAAAACCCUGUACCUAACAAACAGAAAGAUAAGCAAAAACAGGGUAGAGGCAGGGAGACAACAGAACAUGUGGAUACUCUACAAAACCUCCAGAUACUGCUGCCUUGUCUCUGUCAACAUAGGCAGCCUUAGCUCACGGAUCAAAAGACCUUCAUACAUUUGUUUUAUAUCAUAAAUGUGUCGAGAAUGAGCUACACAAAACAUCGUUCACCUACUACACAUGGCUUGUUAGCCUAGUUGAGGGCAUCUUUCAACUCAUUCACACAUUAAAAGCCAGGAAAACAACAUUUAAUUACUAGUUCUAGCAUUAAGAUCAAAGACAAUAUCUUCCCAUCUGUGAAGAGCAAGAGCCUCUUGCUUUCUCCUCUCUUUGCAUUAACAGAAGAAUUGAAGAGUCAAAACACAAAAUCAACAUUAUAUUCCACAUCCCAUGAGUAACACAAUUCCAGCCUAUAGAAACACUAAGCAGCCACCAAAACUUACAUACAUUUUCUUGGAAAGAAAUAUAAGCGAAUCUCUUGUCACAUCUUCACGAUACUCCCAUUCUGCAGUUAUCCAAAGCUCAGAGUGGCUUGAUCCACAGGUGUUAUCCUAGUGUAUAAAAUCACAGUAUCUCUUAAAAGGGAGAAUACCAUAUACCUGCCAUUUACUUGAUAUCUUCAAAAUCAGAUGGUGGUGUAAGGGUUAGAUUAAAUUAAGGCACUAACUUGUAAUCACAAAACCAAAACUGAGGUGGGGUAAGUCAAUGUUAUUUCAUUACCAUAAGUAGGUUUUGCCUGUUGGUCAAAGAAGCUUAAAAAAAUAAAUAAAUAAAUAAAAGUCAGCCUUAACCUGGAGAAUAAAUAUGUCCACUUUCAGAGGAAACUUAUUUGUUGAUUCAGUUCUAGCCAAUGCAAAUUCUUCUGCAGGGGGUUUGCUCUUAGGUACAUGUAGCCAAACCAUAGCACAGGCAAUGAAUGAAGAGAAGGUAAAAAAAUGAAUAAUGUGUAACAUGCUUUCUAAAAUAUGGCAAAUAAACACAGAAAGGACCCUAGUGAAACAGCUAAACCACUGAUUUAGCAUUUUGAGAUUUGAGGACUUUUUUUAUUUUCUCGGGGAUCUGUAUUACUACACAGCAUGUGAAAGGAGUGCAGAGCUCAGUCAGCCCCCAUCUAAUUGUGUUGGCUCUUUUGCAUGAAGAUCAUUUACUGAUAAAUUGUUACAGACACAUUUAGGCAACAAGUUUUUAUAGGAUGCCUGGUGCUCUUUAUAAUGCAAUUAACAUUAUUAAGUAUACAUGUUUUCUUAUGCAUUGUUGUUUCACUGGCAAACA